rnacentral:rRNA from 1 species
GACUAACGCUGGCGGCGUGCUUAACACAUGCAAGUCGAACGGUAAGGCCCUUCGGGGUACACGAGUGGCGAACGGGUGAGUAACACGUGGGUGAUCUGCCCUGCACUUCGGGAUAAGCCUGGGAAACUGGGUCUAAUACCGGAUAGGACCACUGCCUGCAUGGGUGGUGGUGGAAAGCUUUUGCGGUGUGGGAUGGGCCCGCGGCCUAUUAGCUUGUUGGUGGGGUGAUGGCCUACCAAGGCGACGACGGGUAGCCGGCCUGAGAGGGUGACCGGCCACACUGGGACUGAGAUACGGCCCAGACUCCUACGGGAGGCAGCAGUGGGGAAUAUUGCACAAUGGGCGCAAGCCUGAUGCAGCGACGCCGCGUGAGGGAUGACGGCCUUCGGGUUGUAAACCUCUUUCAGCACCGACGAAGCGCAAGUGACGGUAGGUGCAGAAGAAGGACCGGCCAACUACGUGCCAGCCGCCGCAGUAA